CCAAAGCAGAGAGUGCCAGACUUAACCACUAUGCCACUGGGCUGGCCCCUGAUCUACAUUUUUAAAAGGUCUUUCCGUAUAGCCUUGGAAAAGUCGCUCAUCUCAGCCUCAAUUUCCUCAGGAGAAAAAAAGAUAGUCUAUGUCAGAGAACUGUCAUAAGGUUUGAGGGACCUUCAUUAGUGUGUGAAAGCACCUGGCACCUAGGAGAUGCUCACCGAGAGUUAGGCUGGUUCUGUUCCUUCACUCUCUCGCUCAUUGGUUUCCAUCUCCCCAGGAGCCUGCCCUUUUCACCCGCGAUCACAGGUGGCCUCUUCUUAUCCUGAAAACAGAAACUUUCUCCUCCAUGCAAGCUUCCCCUUCCACAGUCAGACUUCUCAAGAGAGGCCUCUAUACCGGUGUUUCUCCAAGCGUAGUCCCUUUUCCAGCCUCGUAUCUGUGUGACACUGGAUUUUCUUCGUGUCCUUCAACCAAAAGAACACAUCACACCGGACUAACUGCAGAAGCAGAUUCGAGAAUCCAGCUGACUUCUGUUAUGACAGACAUUAAAGAGACUUGCAACAAUGUAAAAUAAUGUCACUCUUCUCCCCAAACUUUGUCUUUUGGAAAAUGUAAUUAUUUUUAAUAAAAAUAUGUUAAUGGGUCUAUUAUCGUUAUUUUUACAUGAAUGAACAUUAAAAUUUUCAGUUUUAUAUAUAGGUGAUAUAUUGUAUAUCUAUCCCAGAUAAGCAAACGCUUUUGGGGGUUUUCAAUACUUUUUAAGAGUAUAAAGGGGUUCUGAGACCCAAAAGUUUGAGAACUGCUGUUCUCUCCCAAGGGCUUUCACCUACUCACUCAACUCACUGUCAUCUGGCUUCUACCCCCAAGACUCUACUAACUUCUCUGGCAAAGGUUGCUAAUAAUCUCCUUACUCAUAAGGAGAACCUUUAUCUUCUUUCUUAGUCCGUUUCCCUGGAUUCUUCUCAGUGCUUGACGAUAUUGACCAUCCUCCUCUUUGGUAUUUUUUUUUCCUGGGGCAUUGCAUCAUUUCAUUUCUCCUGUUUCUCUGAUUGCUUCUUCUCCAUCUCUCCUUUUUUUUAACCCCACUCUCUUCUCCUGCUCCCCAAACGCGUGUGCUUUCUCUGGGGCUCUCUUCCCAGUCCAGCUCUCUACUUGGUCGUGUCUGUCUCCACGCCAUCUACCGCAUGCGCUGAGUCUCUUGUCUGGGUCUCCAGCCCAGACUGCUCUACAGAUCUCCAUUUUCCAACUGUCUGUUGCUGAUUCCCACAUGUCUUACUGUACUUGACACUCAGCACGUCUAUGAGACAAAUUCAUCAAGUCCUUUCAAAAUCACUUGCUGCUCUGCAUUUUUCUAUUGCUGUGGUUGCUACCACCAUUUUUCAACUACCCAAGUUGGGCACCAUGAAUAAACUUGACAACUUCUAUCACUUCUUGAUUCCCCGACACCUGUCACAGGCACUGAGCCCUGCAAAUUCUUUGAAGUGUGUCUCCCAUCCUUCACUUGCCUUUUGUUUACUCUGACUGCCACCACCCUAGUUGAGACCUUCUUUCUCUCACUUGAUUCAUCAGAAAAACCAUCUUACCGGUCUUUGUGUCUCAUGAUCCUUUGCCAACAAAGUACAAUUAUGAUCUUAUUAUUUACGUGCCAAGAAAACGUUCAAUUCACUAGCAGAAUAAAGGUUCCAGUGCUGACACUGAUUUGAUUCCAACCUACCUUCCAGCUGGAUCUCCCCCAGGUACUCUACCCAAAUUCUCCAACCAGUGUUUUUUAAAAUGUGGUAAGGGAGCCAGCUGCCUUAUUGUUAUCUGGAAUGCUUGUUUAACCCAACCCCAGACCUACAGAAUCAGAAGCGGAGUCUGAGAAUUGGCACAUCUAACAAUGCACACUAAAAUUUGAGACCCACUGUCCUCUCUAGUCAGACUCAGCCACUCAGCAACCCCCAGACACGCCCUGUACUCGCCUCUGCCUUUGCUAUUCUGCUCCGUCUGCCUCAGAUCCUCUCUUAUCUGUGGAUGUUAAGUCCAGUCCCUCCCUCAAAGCCUAGCUCAAUCGCUGUACCUUUCUGAAGUCUUCACUGAUUCCCCCAAUUGGGAGUGACGGCUCUCCUCUGACCCCUAUGGCAUAUCGCUCACUAUAGGUUUGCUUGUUGCCUGCAGAUUCGCUGUGUUGAUCUACGUAAAUCUCACCUCUCCUACUAGUCUCCUGAGUGUUGAGACAGGGAGAAGGCCUUAGGAGGCCCAAACGCUUCACACUACAAACCACAGUUGCUUGAGGAACACUGGGUUUUAUGGAUGUGGUGAGAAGGUGACAGGGAUCUGAAUGAAGAUGUGGCAGUGGGACUGGGAAGAAGAGAUGAAUGUUAAAGAUCCUGAAAAGAGCUAAUCAGAAUCCUUGGAGGCUGAUUAAAUCCAGAGUGCGGGUGGGAGGGGGAGGAAUCAAGGAUUUAAAUUUUAACCCUGCGUAUCUAGAGAGAUAUAGCCAGCCCUGGUGGUCUAGUGGUUAAAAUUUGCCUGCUGUGGCCCAGAUUUGUUUCCGGUCAGUGAACUACACCACUCAUCUGUCAGUUGUCAUCCUGUGGCGGCUACGUGUUGCUGUAGUGCUGAAAGCUACACCAUUGGUAUUUCAAAUGCCAGCAGGGUGACCCACGGUGGACAGGUUUCAGCAGAGCUUCCUGACUAAGACAGACGAAGAAGAAGGACCUGGCCGCCCACUUCUGAAAAAAUUGGCCAAGAAAACCCUACGAAUAGCAGUGGAGCAUUGUCUGAUAUAACAUUGGAAGAUGAGAGGACGAUGCAAAAAGACAGGGCAGGGUUCCGCUCUUCCUGUACACGGGGUCAGUGGGAGUCAGAAUCAACUUGAGGGCACUAACAACAUACCCAGAGAGCUGGUGGCCCACUGAUAGGAAUAACAGGGUUGGGAGAGGGGAUGCGGCUCAUGCCUGUGGAGGAUAUCUCAUUUUUUGGUUAUUCAGCCACUGAACUCCUUUCCCCACAUUUGGGGAAAUCUGACAUUCUAUGAAUUUUGGUGGGAGCUGGGGUUCUGCAUCCCACUACUGAUAAUUUAAAGGCCAGAUAUUGUCUCUGAUCUUUGUCAGCUACAGCAUGGGCUUGUGACCUAAACUCAGGCGUUUAAAUCUGGAGCAAGUGACACAAGCUAGCCGGGACUGCUUAGGCUCCAUCCUGGUGUCUGCGUCAUCCAGCGCCUUAUUCCCGGGUGCUGCUGGUGCUGGAGUCCUUCCCUAGGCUGCCUACCCUUCCCUCUUCCUGGCCAUUUUCUCAUGGUUCUUCAGUCUUCUUGACAACUGUCAGUUGCCUGAAGCCCUUUCAGUACAUUCCUUUUCUACUUAAGUAGCCAGAAUUGGUUUCAAUUUUUUUGCUGCCAAAAACCCAAACUAGUACACGGCCCACCUGAAUUUAAUUCAUUUCAGGAGCCUUGAAUUUUUCCUUUUAGAUGAGCUCUGUCGUGGUUCUGUUUCCAACUGUCAGAGGAUCACAGAGUCCUGAGGGCCAUUCCCAGGUCACCCGCUCCAAGUUACCACUCAGUGUCCAAAUGCCCUCGACAGACUCCAGUGACCAGCAACUCAUGUCUUUGCCAGGUGUUCUGCUCCUUUGUUAGGAGUGUUGAUGGCACUAACGACUAACCACAGAUGUAGUGGUAAAUAUAUAUUUUUUCUAAAAUUUGCAUCUCUCUUUCUAUGGUUUCCUGUGGCUGUGUUGGUCUCUAUACUGGAUGUGAACCAGAUGCACGUAACUUUUACUCAUUGCUUCUAGUUCUUUUCUAUGGAAAACUGUCCUAUUUUGUAUUAUAUUUAAUUUUAGAAGUUCCCUCAUGCCUUUUGAAAGUGAAGUAAAUGUAUUAAGUAAAUAAACAUGAUGUCAGUGUUAGACACUAAAUGUGAGGUGAUGUGGAGUCUCUCAGGGAGUGGGCCUGCCGCUCAGGUGAGGGUGGAUACAGGGAUUUGCGAGUCAACAGUAAUGGUUGAAAGUAAUGGCCUCUCUAAAAAAAAGGGAUGCAAAACAAUUUGCAGAAGAAUGCAAACUAAGCACUGAAGGGCACAUAAAACAUUUGGUCAGCACUGGGGUGAGAGUAAGGGAUGGGGGGAGGGCCGGCACCGGAGGGAGACUGAGGGAUGAGAUGAGAGCAAGCAAUGGGAAAAAACAAGCCAGGGAUGAAGUAAGGAUCCUCUGGCAACUGACCUGGCAGUCCUGACAGACUUAAAAAUGGCUACAUCAACAUCUAUAUCACACAGGGCAAUCCUCAGUCAGAAGCCACUGAGGGAGAGAGCGGAAGUAUGGUCAGAAAGUAGCAUGAUUUGAGCCACCAAAGGGUGAGGGAGUUUUAGGAAGGAAGGGGCGUUUAGUAGGGCCAAGAGCCUUCAGACAGCCAAGGAGAAUGGGGAGGAGGGAAGGCUAUUGGAUCUAGCACAGUGGGGGCCUGGGGACGGAGGAGGCGCCUGUGUAGGGAGAUGGUGGUGGAGGCGGGGGAAGGUGAGGCAGCAAGGAAGCUGGAGGGCUGGCGAGGGCAUGGAGAGGGACGCAGGAGCAGCUGGAUGAAUUAAGACGGAGAGAACGAGGCCCUGGAGAAGCAGGGCGAAGGUGUGUGUGGAGCGGUCUGGAGAGGAGCAGAUCCUCGGCAGCCAUUCAGAUAAACAUCUGAGGUGCAGAGAGAGCUGGGUGUGGCCAAGGGAAGGAAGGGCGUGGCUGACAGACAGGCUGAGGUACAGAGGAGACAGGAGUGAGAGUCACAAACCCAGGACUAUCUUCUCAUUGGCAACCGAAGCUGGGAGGUCUUCAGGUUAUCCAGAAAACCCGGGUCAAAUGUCCUUGGCUGACACCACGACUUCCCCUUGAGAACCUGAAAAAAUGCUGGCCGCGACGUUUCAGAAGGAAGUCAGGGAGUUUUAUAGGGAGAAAGGAGGGCAGAGGGAUCUGAGGCAAAUGCGCACAUCUAGGAUUUAGGAGUGCGGGGUCUGCCUCCAGCCCUUCUGGGCUGUGCUAGUGGUGUGGCCUCACCGGGCUAACGCAGCCGGGGUUUCAUGCAGUUCUGGGAAGUAACAGAGAAGCUAGUGCUAUUUUUGUCAGCAGAGGCACCCACUGGCCAGAAACAAACAAGAAAUGCAGCGUGUAUGUAGGGGGGAAAUGUUAAGGUCAUCAAAUAAUCCACGAUAAUUUCCAUUGACCCUUGGAAAGCAUCUCGACAUUCUUAUUGGAAAGGGGGUAAGUUAUGAUCUGAGAAUUUCCUUCGCAGCAAGUCACGAAGCUCGGCAGGGGACCUUCAGCUGUGAAGGCGGUUCCCUGGCCUAAAAACAUCCCCUUUAACUCUCUCUGCUGUCAGCUGUCCAGGAACUUAGCAGCUGAAAAGGAGUUAUCCAGGGCAUAAUUUCAAGAGAGUGAGGGGUGGGUAAAGGUUGUAUUAGUUUUCAGGCUUGAAUUUGAGUUUUUAGAAUUAGGUAUUGUAUGGCAAAUAUAUAUUUCUUCUAAAAUUUGCAUCUCUCUUUCUACGGUUUCCUGUGGCUGAGUCGGUCUCUAUACUGGAUGUGAACCAGACGCACGUGGGUGAAUGAGUCUGAUCCUCGUUAGACUUCGGGAUCUCUGGGAUCCGCUUACUGUGCUGAAGUUUCUCACCUAUAGGAUGUGGAUCUAAGGCGAAAAACGAGGAAUCGGCAGCUCAGAGGUGAAGACGCUUCCCCAGGGCCGGCCUGCUCACAGCGGGGAGAGCCGAGGCUUCAAACCCUUGAGUUUCUGACUCUGGAGCCCGAGGUCUUAGCCGUGAGCUGGACUGCCCUUAUAAAAUGCACAAUUUGCAAGGAAACAGGUGCAACUGAAAAGCCACCCAGAGGCCUCAAAAGAGAGAAUCUGAAGAAUUUUCCACAGACUUAUAGGCCAGGAAGGAGUGCCAAAGAGGAAGAAUCCAAGCAUACUCAGUGUGAUGAGAGCAUAUAUGGAGGACGACGACCGAUGACAUGCACAAACUGCACCCCAAUGUCAAAUGAUGGCAGAGUGGUCCCACUUGAAGCCCCAGUGAUGAAGGACUGAGUGAACCUGUGGAUGCAGCCUGCACACAUGCAGCCCAGAGACAGCAUACCUCGUCCUCUGUCCGCCUCUGUCCACUCAUCUACAUGAAGCAGAGAAAAAGAAAACACCAGUUCAUGAAGGAAGAGCAUUAUUUCCAAGGAGGCUUUUAAAAUGCCAAUUAUCUGGUCUAUGAAACCUUAUUUUUCAUGUUUGCAGUGAUGUCUAAUGCGAACCCCCGCCUUCCAUUUGAAACUUUUAAAGGAUGAUGGAUAAAUAACAAGUUCCAAAAAAGCCCUAGGGAGGCAAUAUCUUAUAGAGAGUGGCCCAGGAAGAGAGGAGCUCAGGAGGACCAGCCACCCCGGGGUUUAUCUUGACAGGCUCGAGAAGUCAUCCUCUCCCAUGCUAUGAGAAUACACCUCAUUCAAAAGAAGGCCUUUAAAAACACUAACUUCCCUGAGAAAGAAUAAUUCCAAGAACAGGUCGAGAAAGGAUUUUCUUUUUGUAAAACCUGAUGUUUUAUUAAUGUAAGAUUUCCCUUUCUAGAGUACAGAUGGAACUGUCAAAUUAGAAAACUUGAAAUGUAAACUAAAAGGAAAAAAAUUGUCUAUUUGUUUCUGAUUUAGUUUUAUAUAUAGAUGCAUGACUUCCAUGUAAAAAGAGGGAAGUAAUGAUGGGACCACUGUCAAGAAAGCUCCUGAGGACAGAGGCAGUCAGGGAGAUGCCAAGAGGAGACCAAAUAAGGAAAAAUGUACUUGGCUAGAGAAAUCUUGUGAGAAGCAAGACCCUUUAUGGUUGAGACCUGGCUCUAUCACUUACUAGCUAUGUAACUCCAAGCAACUUGGUUAGCCUCAGUUUCUUCAUCUGUACAAUGGGGAUCAUAAUCGCACCUCCCUCCUAGGGUUGCUGUAGGGAUGAGAUGGGCAACACCCAUCAAGCACUUGGCUGCCUUCUCUUCCAGCUCUGCUUUCUCUACCGCAGAACUUUGGAGAAUACCCAUAAAAGAUGAAAGAUGA